CAUCCCAGGGUCAGGGUUCUGGGGUUUUGGCCUCUGGUCACUUGAGGGUCUCUGGCAAUCCUGCUCCCCCUCUUUCACUCUGGGGCCUCCGUUUCCCCACCUGGGCUUCAGCACGCAGCAUCCUCCAAGCCCUCGCCUCCACUGCUGGGCCCAGGACUCAGGGUCUCUCCUCUCGCCUGGAGUGCAGACCCCGGAGGCUGGGGCCCAGGCGCGCACCUGCAUGUCUGCCGGCCAGAAGGGCUCAGGGUUCGGACUUCCCUCCGCUCAUGCACGGCGCGGUAGGGUAGGGCAGGUGGGAGCGCAACUAUCCCGGAGGAGUGCAGACUCACUCCUUGAGGCCGCCCCAGUUGUAGCACAGAGGUGACCUGGGGACCAUGCGGCUGCUCCUGCUGACGGUGGGGCUGAGCCUGCUCUCAGUGGCGCGAGCCCAGAAGUUUCUGCUGACUCCUGCUAGCUCACAGGAGCUCCUGGGAGACUGGCACAUCGUGCGCUGGGCAGGAGACUUGACUAUUCCCGAGGAGAGGAAGACCCACCCGCUGCCUCCCUUCAAGUUCGUCAGAAACAAGCUCAACAAGCUGGAGUUCAGGAUGAACCUCAUGAAACCCAUAGGAUGCAUUCAGUUCCAAAUGAUCCUGGAUGUAGCCUCCCGGGGCACCUUUCAAACCGGUUGGAGGCACACCAUCUCUGUCCACUUCUUGCCAGGGAAGGAUCACGCCAUUGCCUACUUCAAGGGCAAGAUACAGCAAACCUACCAGAUGACGAUGCUCAUGGGUGUGCUCCAGCCUCUGGACCGUGUGGAGUUGGGUGUGAACCUCCAGGGUGCCGGCAGACAGGGUGCAGUGCCUUCCAGUCCAGCUAUCUGCAGUUCCCACCCAGGCAGCCAUUUCUGGGACUCCUGGACUCUCGGUGGGAGAGGACCCCUCCCUAGAGGUCAGCUGUGCCCAGGUGGAGACCCUGUCCCUGGCCACUAACCCUUGGAGCCAUCUCCACCCUGAGACUCACAGCUCUCUGCAGCCUUUCUAGUCUCCGCCAGAGUUCUCCAGAGCUUGGCCCCCAGUAUCCUCCUGACAGAACCGCAGUGGGCCCUUCCUGCUCUUGCCCAUCAGCCCCUGCCUAUCCUGCCUGUCCUGUGUGUGCUGCACCCACUGUCUGGUCUUCUCUGCCCACAGCCCCCUGGGAGGCUCUGGACCCAUAAGGCCCCUGUGAUGGCUAUGUGGGAGCUCUGGCAGCAGCAGGGAGACAUGGACAGGGAGGCCUGCCCACUGGCCCCACUCUCUGAUCAUAAGCAUGGACCUCAAAGGCCCUUGGUGUGACCCUGAUGAUGGCUGAGGCCCUUGGUGCUGCCCAGACCCUCCAGGUGCCCCCAGAUCAUUUAUAGAUUGAAUUUCACAUGUCCCCCCAUCUCCUGGUCCAGUGCAGGACAUACCUCCACACCAAACAGGGUGCAUGUGGAGUGUGGUCUUGGGCAGGACCUGAGCUGAGAACUGGAGAGGCUAAGAGCUCACAAAUCACUCUCUGCUGAGAGUCCCAGAGUCCUAGGAAUGGCUUCCUGGGGUGGAAGCUGGGGGGAGAUGGGCAGGAAGGCAGUGUGCCCUGUCUGUGCCCAGUGCCCCUGUGUGAGCAGGGUGCCUCGACAGAACUUGCGGUGAUGUGCACAUUGCUGGAGGGGCCCAGGGUGCAGCCUCUGAGACCAGGUCUGCAAGGAGAGGUUGGGGCCAGGGAGACUGGGCAGUGGGGGUGAUGGGGGUCUGGAGGAGCUGAGGGCACACGGCGACAAUCCUCAAGGAUGGGCAUUUCUGUGGGGCAGGGGUCUGAUUCAUGGAGACGGGACAUUGACAGGUAGGCCCCACCCCUUCCCUCCUUCUGCUCCCCCUGUGGUCAUACUCAGGGCUGUUUCUCCUGGAGUGAUUGGGGUUUGGAGGGACGGUGUCCCUGAGCCUAGGAUGUGCCCAUGCAGGGAAUGUUCAUUGGUCCUCUGCUUGCCAGGGUUGGGGAGUGGCACCUCUUUCCUGUGGAAAUCUCAGAGACAGGAAGCCCCUGGGGCCCCUGAGCUUUGCCAGGAGCUCAGAGGCAUAAGUGUCUAGUCCCAAAGAAGACGCAGAAGUGGUUGUUGCCUGGAGACGCCCCCUGGCUGGCUCUUUCCCGAGAGGCCGCACCCUGGAGGAAGACCCAGAGGCUCUGAGCAUCUUUGAGAAGUUUGUGAAAGACAAAGGGCUGAACAAGAUCACUGCCCCUCCCCACCUUGAAGCCUGCAAGUUGCCCAGAGAGUCCUAGAGCAGGAGGGGGCUGC